UGUGAGCUCGAUGAGUAGGGCGGGACACGUGGUAUCCUGUCUGAAUAUGGGGGGACCAUCCUCCAAGGCUAAAUACUCCUGACUGACCGAUAGUGAACCAGUACCGUGAGGGAAAGGCGAAAAGAACCCCGGCGAGGGGAGUGAAAAAGAACCUGAAACCGUGUACGUACAAGCAGUGGGAGCACGCUUAGGCGUGUGACUGCGUACCUUUUGUAUAAUGGGUCAGCGACUUAUAUUCUGUAGCAAGGUUAACCGAAUAGGGGAGCCGAAGGGAAACCGAGUCUUAACUGGGCGUUAAGUUGCAGGGUAUAGACCCGAAACCCGGUGAUCUAGCCAUGGGCAGGUUGAAGGUUGGGUAACACUAACUGGAGGACCGAACCGACUAAUGUUGAAAAAUUAGCGGAUGACUUGUGGCUGGGGGUGAAAGGCCAAUCAAACCGGGAGAUAGCUGGUUCUCCCCGAAAGCUAUUUAGGUAGCGCCUCGUGAAUUCAUCUCCGGGGGUAGAGCACUGUUUCGGCAAGGGGGUCAUCCCGACUUACCAACCCGAUGCAAACUGCGAAUACCGGAGAAUGUUAUCACGGGAGACACACGGCGGGUGCUAACGUCCGUCGUGAAGAGGGAAACAACCCAGACCGCCAGCUAAGGUCCCAAAGUCAUGGUUAAGUGGGAAACGAUGUGGGAAGGCCCAGACAGCCAGGAUGUUGGCUUAGAAGCAGCCAUCAUUUAAAGAAAGCGUAAUAGCUCACUGGUCGAGUCGGCCUGCGCGGAAGAUGUAACGGGGCUAAACCAUGCACCGAAGCUGCGGCAGCGACGCUGAUGCGUUGUUGGGUAGGGGAGCGUUCUGUAAGCCUGCGAAGGUGUGCUGUGAGGCAUGCUGGAGGUAUCAGAAGUGCGAAUGCUGACAUAAGUAACGAUAAAGCGGGUGAAAAGCCCGCUCGCCGGAAGACCAAGGGUUCCUGUCCAACGUUAAUCGGGGCAGGGUGAGUCGACCCCUAAGGCGAGGCCGAAAGGCGUAGUCGAUGGGAAACAGGUUAAUAUUCCUGUACUUGGUGUUACUGCGAAGGGGGGACGGAGAAGGCUAUGUUGGCCGGGCGACGGUUGUCCCGGUUUAAGCGUGUAGGCUGGUUUUCCAGGCAAAUCCGGAAAAUCAAGGCUGAGGCGUGAUGACGAGGCACUACGGUGCUGAAGCAACAAAUGCCCUGCUUCCAGGAAAAGCCUCUAAGCAUCAGGUAACAUCAAAUCGUACCCCAAACCGACACAGGUGGUCAGGUAGAGAAUACCAAGGCGCUUGAGAGAACUCGGGUGAAGGAACUAGGCAAAAUGGUGCCGUAACUUCGGGAGAAGGCACGCUGAUAUGUAGGUGAAGUCCCUCGCGGAUGGAGCUGAAAUCAGUCGAAGAUACCAGCUGGCUGCAACUGUUUAUUAAAAACACAGCACUGUGCAAACACGAAAGUGGACGUAUACGGUGUGACGCCUGCCCGGUGCCGGAAGGUUAAUUGAUGGGGUUAGCGCAAGCGAAGCUCUUGAUCGAAGCCCCGGUAAACGGCGGCCGUAACUAUAACGGUCCUAAGGUAGCGAAAUUCC
rnacentral:rRNA from 1 species